GGNNNNNGNUNGGGUGANCAGCGGAGGGAUCAUUACCGAGUUAUACAACUCAUCAACCCUGUGAACAUACCUAAAACGUUGCUUCGGCGGGAACAGACGGCCCUGUAACAACGGGCCGCCCCCGCCAGAGGACCCCUAACUCUGUUUUUAUAAUGUUUUUCUGAGUAAACAAGCAAAUAAAUUAAAACUUUCAACAACGGAUCUCUUGGCUCUGGCAUCGAUGAAGAACGCAGCGAAAUGCGAUAAGUAAUGUGAAUUGCAGAAUUCAGUGAAUCAUCGAAUCUUUGAACGCACAUUGCGCCCGCCAGUAUUCUGGCGGGCAUGCCUGUUCGAGCGUCAUUACAACCCUCAGGCCCCCGGGCCUGGCGUUGGGGAUCGGCGGAAGCCCCCUGUGGGCACACGCCGUCCCUCAAAUACAGUGGCGGUCCCGCCGCAGCUUCCAUUGCGUAGUAGCUAACACCUCGCAACUGGAGAGCGGCGCGGCCAUGCCGUAAAACACCCAACUUCUGAAUGUUGACCUCGAAUCAGGUAGGAAUACCCGCUGAACUUAAGCAUAUCAAUAGGCCGGAGGAA
rnacentral:rRNA from 1 species